UACGUAGGGUGCGAGCGUUAAUCGGAAUUACUGGGCGUAAAGCGUGCGCAGGCGGUUCGUUGUGUCGGCGGUGAAAGCCCCGGGCUUAACCUGGGAAUGGCCGUUGAAACUGGCGAACUGGAGUGUGGCAGAGGGGGAUGGAAUUCCGCGUGUAGCAGUGAAAUGCGUAGAUAUGCGGAGGAACACCGAUGGCGAAGGCAAUCCCCCUGGGCCUGCACUGACGCUCAUGCACGAAAGCGUGGGGAGCAAACAGG
rnacentral:rRNA from 1 species